GACGAACGCUGGCGGCGUGCCUAAUACAUGCAAGUCGAGCGAAUCAGUAGGAGCUUGCUCCUGUUGAUUAGCGGCGGACGGGUGAGUAACACGUGGGCAACCUGCCUGUAAGAUCGGGAUAACUUCGGGAAACCGGAGCUAAUACCGGAUAAUCCUUUUCCACAUAUGUGGGAAAGCUGAAAGACGGUUUCGGCUGUCACUUACAGAUGGGCCCGCGGCGCAUUAGCUAGUUGGUGAGGUAACGGCUCACCAAGGCGACGAUGCGUAGCCGACCGGAGAGGGUGAUCGGCCACACUGGGACUGAGACACGGCCCAGACUCCUACGGGAGGCAGCAGUAGGGAAUCUUCCGCAAUGGACGCAAGUCUGACGGAGCAACGCCGCGUGAGUGAUGAAGGUUUUCGGAUCGUAAAGCUCUGUUGCCCUAGACGAACGGCAAGGGGAAUAACUGCCCUUUGUGUGACGGUAUAGGAGAAGAAAGCCCCGGCUAACUACGUGCCAGCAGCCGCCGUAA
rnacentral:rRNA from 1 species